GAAUUCUUUGAGGAGGUGACCAAGCAUGUGGAUGAAGGUAAAGCAGUGGAUGUAGUGUACAUGGAUUUUAGUAAGGCAUUUGAUAAGGUUCCCCAUGGUAGGCUUAUGCAGAAAGUAAGGAGGCAUGGGAUAAUGGGAAAUUUGGCCAGUUGGAUAACGAACUGGCUAACCGAUAGAAGUCAGAGAGUGGUGGUGGAUGGCAAAUAUUCAGCCUGGAUCCCAGUUACCAGUGGCGUACCUCAGGGAUCAGUUCUGGGUCCUCUGCUGUUUGUGAUUUUCAUUAAUGACUUGGAUGAGGGAGUUGAAGGGUGGGUCAGUAAAUUUGCAGACUAUACGAAGAUUGGUGGAGUUGUGGAUAGUAAGGAGGGCUGUUGUCGGCUGCAAAGAGACAUAGAUAGGAUGCAGAGCUGGGCUGAGAAGUGGCAGAUGGAGUUUAACCCUGAAAAGUGUGAGGUUGUCCAUUUUGGAAGGACAAAUAUGAAUGCGGAAUACAGGGUUAACGGUAGAGUUCUUGGCAAUGUGGAGGAGCAGAGAGAUCUUGGGGUCUAUGUUCAUACAUCUUUGAAAGUUGCCACUCAAGUGGAUAGAGCUGUGAAGAAGGCCUAUGGUGUGCUCGCGUUCAUUAACAGAGGGAUUGAAUUUAAGAGCUGUGAGAUGAUGAUGCAGCUGUACAAAACUUUGGUAAGGCCACAUUUGGAGUACUGUGUACAGUUCUGGUCGCCUCAUUUUAGGAAGGAUGUGGAAGCUUUGGAAAAGGUGCGAAGAAGAUUUACCAGGAUGUUGCCUGGAAUGGAGAGUAGGUCUUGCGAGGAAAGGUUGAGGGUGCUAGGCCUCUUCUCAUUAGAACGGAGAAGGAUGAGGGGCGACUUGAUAGAGGUUAUAAGAUGAUCAGUGGAAUAGAUAGAGUAGACAGUCAGAGACUUUUUAAACCAUUACAAGGGGACAUACAUUUAAGGUGGAAGAUAUAGGAGGGAUAUCAGAGGUAGGUUCUUUACCCAGAGAGCAGUGGGGGCAUGGAAUGCACUGCCUGUGGAAGUAGUUGAGUUGGAAACAUUAGGGACCUUCAAGCAGUUAUUGGAUAGGUACAUAGAUUAUGGUAAAAUGAUAUAGUGUAGAUUUAUUUGUUCUUAAGGGCAGCACGGUAGCAUUGUGGAUAGCACAAUUGCUUCACAGCUCCAGGGUCCCAGGUUCGAUCCGGCUUGGGUCACUGCCCGUGCGGAGUCUGCACAUCCUCCCCGUGUCUGCGUGGGUUUCCUCCGGGUGCUCCGGUUUCCUCCCACAGUCCAAAGAUGUGCCGGUUAGGUGGAUUGGCGAAUGAUAAAUUGCCCUUAAUGUCCAAAAUUGCCCUUGGUGUUGGGUGGAGGUGUUGAGUUUGGGUAGGGUGCUCUUUCCAAGAGCCGGUGCAGACUCAAAGGGCCGAAUGGCUCCUUCUGCACUGAAAAUUCAAUGAUAAUCUAUGAUUAAUCUAGGACAAAGGUUCGGCACAACAUCGUGGGCCGAAGGCCUGUUCUGUGCUGUAUUUUCUAUGUUCUAUGUUCUAU
rnacentral:rRNA from 1 species